rnacentral:lncRNA from 1 species
CUCGAAAGAAGAAGAAUAUGGAUCAAUCAAAACAACCUACAAUCGUGCACGAAAGUUGAGGUGGAUAUGGACGUCAUGUCGUUGAAUCCUGGUUACGGUCCGAUUCUUGAAAACAACACCAUUUCUACAAGUUUAUGUAAUACAUUUGCCGCAGCCCGUUGACAUUCAUGGAUCGAUUCCAAGUAUGCACAGAACGCGUUUGGAGAACAGAUUUACCAAGUGUUGAGUGUUUUCUAGAAUGAAAUGGAAGUCAAGGCUAUUUCUUUGCAGAAAGAUGAGCUGAGAGCCAAGCUGAGGUCAAUGCCAAAGAAAGAUGCCAGCCUGCAGAGAGAUGUUGGCCUCUUGGAGCAUCUACAAAGGGCUAAAUCGGGAGCCAUUGGCAUCGCACUGGAGGCCAUGGUCAUGUUCAAGGGGAGUCGCACCUGGGAUUGGCUUCAGUCUUUGGACAGAGAAAAAAGAACGUCAGUGCUGAAAGCACUUCAGCAGGCAGUUAAGCAAAAAAAAGUGUUGGCAACAGAGCGCUCAAGUCUCCAGAAUGGGAAAGGCAACCGCACGAAAGCAGUUGUGAAGCCUGGACAUGCUGCCACUGAGAAACAACAGAAAAUUGCUGAACAGAACAUUGAGGGAAUGACAGUGAAGUCAGAGGAGAGGGAUUCCGGGCUUGAGAUUGCAGUUGCCAGACCUCAACAAUCACCCCUACAGGGUGAAAGCACAAUGACAGUGAAGUCUGAGGAGAUGGAGAGGGAAGUAGCAAGACCUCAACAAUCAGCCCUACGGGGCGAAGUGAGUCCUGCUGAAAAUACUUGUUGUAGAUAAACAGAAAGCUAUGGAGCAUGAACAACACCAUCCAGGUGGACACUAUACCAUGAUGAAACAUGAUUUGAUCAGAGAGUUAGAGAAGUGUGGUGGUUUGUGGGAGAAAGAGGAUGAUAUGGAUGAACAUUUGGCUUUAUUAGAUAAACAUGAUAGGUAUUCUGCAGUUAUCUGCCAACUUCAGUUCCGGAAAUAUGUCCUUUGUAUGAAAAAUGAGAACGGGCUUCUCAAUGUUUCAGUUGCCAGCAUAAAACUUAGCUUUGAAGAACUUGUGACAAAUUUGGGGUCAUUUAUCUCAAAGAUCAACACCUCUGAAGAAGUCAAAGCCCGCAGUCUGAAACGAAAAGCAGACACAACUGAGACAUUGCCCGACAAACCAUCCAAAAAGAUGGUGAAAGUGGCUGAGAAUGUUGUGGGCAGGGUUUCAAAGUGUGCCACAGGUGUGGUUAGGGAUACAGAGCCAAUGAAGAGCUACACACCCAGAAAACAAAAACAUUGCCUACCUGCUGAAGUUACUGUUCAGGUGGAUUAACAUGAAAAAGGGCGGGAGAUCCUCUAGAAAAGUAGCACUCACAAAGCCAGUACACAUCCAGUAAUGAAGAGAACAGAGAAAAACACGAGAUUUUAGUGAAACUAAGACCACAGAUCUAAUUGUAUUAUGACUAGGUCUACUAAAUGGGGGAAAAAGGUUGUUUAGUCUGACAAAAAUACCAUUUCCUAGGCUUAAGUUUUCAUCAGUGUUGAAAGCAGAUGUGUCUUUAGAAUCUUAUAGACAGAUGUAUCAGUAGUGACUGAGCUGUAUAAAUUGUCACAAUGUGUAGAUGGGAACGUGAAACAACUAAUGCUUUUACUUUAUUUAAACUUUAUACCAGCAAGAAUUUGGACUAUGAGCUGCUUCCAGUGUUGACUUAGGCCAUAUUCAGCACAAUUCACAAUGGUCAAACCUAUCCGUGAUUCUAACCAGGUUACAGGAUAGAGGAGAAAGAAGUGUGUCUUUUGAGAGAGACAAUCUACCUACUUGACCCAUUUAAGGCCUUUUUUUUUUGCAUUUGUCUAUCAAAAUCAUUUUAGUUGGGAAAGGAAGGUUAGUGGGUAAGGUGAACUGGGAAAGAUGACCCUUGGCUUCCUUCAAAGUCCUUAUCACUUCUAUGGAUAUCAAGUUGUCUGUUAAGAAGCCGUACCUUGGAAAGUCAUUACAGGAAUUGGACAGAAAAACCUAUGAGACAUUUUUAUUUUUGUUCAUUUUUCUUUGGAUGGACUUGAAUUGUGAAUUUUCCCCAUGGCAGUUGAUCCUUGGGAGAGAACAAAAGCUCAUCUACAGUAUAGGAGACAAAAUCAGUGAGAAAUGACAAUCAUCAUUUUAGCCUUGUUUUUAUUUUUUGGUUUGAUUUUCCCGAAGACGAUACUUCAGAAUUGUUCAAGUUUUACCACUGACGUUUUGGAAAGAAUCUGUUAAAGGGGGAACUGUCCUUGGUGAAGGGGCACUCCCACUGUGGUACAAGUGUAACUCUUUGUUUACCUUGGAUGCUGUAAUCGCUCACCUGCUGUGGAACAGAAAAGGUAAACAAUCUGUAUUCCGUUUCCCCUGAGGUCAGUCAUCUGAGGAGUGCUGUGGUUCUGCUCCUACUGCUCACAAGAGAAGACCUCAAUACCUGGCCGGUAAACAAUCCCAGUGACAUGAUUCAUGUAUGCAGCAUCUCCUGACCAGCAAUACGGUUAUCUGAGUGGUCAUCUCAGUCUUGUGUCCACUGUUCACAAUAGAAUACCUCAAGACCUAAAAAAGGUAGUUGGAUAAAUGCACCAUCUCUACAACCCAUGGAUCCAGGCCAGGGGCAGUAGAUACCACCAUCUCUACAACCCAUGGAUCCAGGCCAGGGGCAGUAGAUACCGCCGCCUUUCAAACACCUGGGAUGACAUAUCUGCAGGUUUCUCUCCUCAGUCUGUAUCCAGAGAGUCCCUCAUCCUCUUUGUGCCAGGAUAAGGAUCUUAGACCUUGUCCUUGGUGUGGUUUUGGACCAACUCUGUUUCUGUAAAGAAGACACCUUGUCUGCAUCAUCACACGGCCAACAGACAGCCAACUGACUGCCUCUGGCCUCCAUGCCUGUGUUUCUGUCCGCUUAGAGGACUGACUGACUGUUCUGAGACCUGUUGUCCCACAUUCCACUGAUUCAUUCCACAGCAGAACCACGACUGAUUAGGAUGUUACAGGACAAAAGAGACUCAUCUGUGAGUAGAGACUACAGCACCCACAAAGCAUUGCAGCUUCCCUUACUGACACUUGUAGGCCUACUUGCACUGCCUGCUUUUACUACUGUCUCAAGGUAAUUUUUUUCUGAGUUAAUGUUCUGUAAAUACUCCCAGGUUUGGUGUUUCAGAUGUUCAUGGUCUAUGUUACCAGUUUUACACUGUGUGGACUUGGGGUUUUUGUUCUCCAGGAAAUUGCAGCUUGUGGAAAAUAUCACACAAUUUACUGCUGACAAAUUUGACAUUUCUAUUUUUCUUUUAUGUUGGAACAUGUUCUGUUUCUGGAUAAUAAAGUAUACUUUGAAUAUCAUAUUUAUGGAUUAUAAUUGCUUAUAGAAAAAAAACGACAUUAAAUAUUUGUU